GAUGAACGCUGACAGAAUGCUUAACACAUGCAAGUCUUUGGCGAAUCUGUGCUUGCACAGGCUAGCCAAGGCGGACGGGUGAGUAACGCGUAAAGAACUUGCCCUGCAGACAGGGAUAGCAGACGGAAACGACUGAUAACACCUGAUACAGUUGCCGGCACGCAUGUGCCUGGCAAUGAAAAGAGAUGCUGCAGGAGAGCUUUGCGUCCUAUUAGCUUGUUGGUGAGGUGACGGCUCACCAAGGCGAUGAUAGGUAGCCGGCCUGAGAGGGUGAACGGCCACAAGGGGACUGAGAUACGGCCCUUACUCCUACGGGAGGCAGCAGUGGGGAAUAGUGGACAAUGGGGGCAACCCUGAUCCAGCAAUUCUGUGUGCACGAAGAAGGUUUUCGGAUUGUAAAGUGCUUUCAGCAGGGAAGAAGAAAGUGACGGUACCUGCAGAAGAAGCGACGGCUAAAUACGUG
rnacentral:rRNA from 1 species